CACCAGCCGCUCGGCUGUCAGGCGCGGUGGCCAAGUGGAGUUCAGCCCCUCCUCUACCGGUUCGGGGCUAGAGCACUGUAACUCUUUCCAGAGGCCCUGCACAGCUGCUGAACUCCCUGCAUCCUCUACCCUUCGACUCCGGUCUGGAUCCCAGCGACGGAUAUGGUCUCCUGUGUCCUGCCGGGAUUACUGAGGUUGGUUUACCACCAACUAGCUUCUCUCUUCAAAACUAUACUAAAGGGUAGCAAUUUUUCGUUGUUUUCUUGUUUGGUUGGUUGGUUGGUUGAUUGGAUGGAUGUUUUUGUUUUGGAGACAGUGUCUAACCACAUAGCAAUGUAGCUUUAACUAUCCUGGCGCUCCCUAUGUAGACCCGGCUGCCUUUGAACUGGCCAUCCACUUCUGACUCCCAAGCGCAAGAGUAAAAACCUCAAGUUUUAUGCCA
rnacentral:lncRNA from 1 species